AUGUGAGGCCCCUCCAGCACUGGCCAUCCUCUCUGCUUCCAGUCCAGGAGUGUCCCAGGAUCAAGGAUCCGAGGUGAAGGAGAAUGGGAACGCUGCGAGCCACAGCCAUGGAGCUGUUUGAUGACGGAUUUGGAGUGAUCAAGCUCUCUCUCCUCAAGCAGGCCCUCUGCCAACACAAAUCUGGGGCUCCUGCACUGACUGCCAUGGCCAAGACUGAGCAGAAAACACCUUGGUGUUGGGAAAUGAGGACAAGUGGGGAAAAUCUUGUUGGCAGAGCCCAAGGAAGAGCCUCAGGAUUGUGAGGGGCUGUGGGACCUCCAGCCUCAUCUGCCUCGCAAGGACAGGGUGAGUCUGAGAACAAAGCUGGUGCCAGUCUUGGCAUUAAAAAGAAAAUGGAAAAAACACCAACAUCAAGAACUCUGACAGAUGCUGGAUUUUUAGGAUGUGAGUAACACCUCCAGCUACUCUGGGCCUGUGGGUCCACUCCAAGUGAUGUGCGUGCUAAGCACCGCUUGGACCGGUGCCACCCGGCGCUCGCUGCUGCUGGUAAUGAACUUGGGAGCUGCAAGAUGAGCACUCUAAAAUUCAGCUUUGGGAUCUUCCUAUUUUCCAAAGUGUUCGAGUGCUUUCUUCUUAAGCAGCAAGCUUCCACGUAGGGAAUGCUGUUCCGCAGAGAGCGCUGUGCAUCUUCUGCCACCGGCGUGUUUUGUUCAGGGCUGCGCAGGGACGACAUAAAAUCCAUGUGCUUAUCCAAGUGGAAUUGCUGACUCUAUUACCCUGGUCAGAGAAAACUGUCUGUCUUCAUCCUCCCUCUGAUCCAUCAGGAAGGGGAUAGCAGUUCAGUGCCUUGGUGUGCUGCAUGUCCCAGAUCUGCAGCCAGUGCUGACCAAGCUGAGUUCAGUGGAAACCCUUUGGGGGUGCAGGACACGAGGUGUUGUUCCUCCUCACAUUCUGCAGAGGUUAAAAUCAUAGAAAAUUUGGGGAGUUAGAAAGAAAGCUAGGCUUAGUAGGCCCUGGGAAAAUGUUAAAAGUAGGCCCUGGGAAACGUUAGGCCUUGUGUUUGCCAGAUCAUGUGAAAUUGCACCUGUGUAACCAGUAUAUGAUAAAUGAUAUAAUUGUCAGAUGUGAUGAUUGCUUAGAUAUAAUUAUUGUUUAAUAGUAAGAAGAAUCAUGAGAAACUAUGUUCAAGGGUUUGAGGGGGGAUCAAGAGAAACCUAUGCUUGGAUGAAAUCAAUGUAUACAA